UACGUAGGGUGCGAGCGUUGCCCGGAUUUAUUGGGCGUAAAGGGCGCGUAGGCGGCUCGGCACGUCCGUUGUGAAAUCGCCCGGCUCAACUGGGCGGGGUCAGCGGAUACGGCGUGGCUGGAGCAAGCUAGGGGGCAAUGGAAUUCCCGGUGUAGUGGUGGAAUGCGUAGAUAUCGGGAGGAACACCGGUGGCGAAGGCGGUUGCCUGGAGCUUUGCUGACGCUGAUGCGCGAAAGCGUGGGGAGCGAUCCGG
rnacentral:rRNA from 1 species